rnacentral:lncRNA from 1 species
ACUGACUGACUGAGCUAUAGGCGAGGUGAAGGCUGCUCUAUUAUCAGACUUUAUGGCAGCAGGCAGCCUAUAUUGAGGGAUGAUUUCAUUGCGUAAAAACUUAACUACUGUGUUGGUGGUUUCGUUUUCGGUAGCAAAUGCCUUAGUCUAUCUGGAGAAGGUGUCUACUAGUACUAGAAGACAGACAAGGGGAGGGGCUCCUGUGAUGGGAUCAGUCAGAUGCCUGCCUGGCCGCUCCCCCUGAGGGGACUUGGGCUCCUCUUAACAUUGGCAGGCUGGUAUAAACUUCCGGCUCAGAUCAAGCUAUGCCUGAUGCUGCCUUAAGCCUUAUGAGGUCGCCACGGAACCGCAGAAACUCCUGGAGGGCAGAGCUGUGUCUGCCAUCUUCAUCAUUGCAUUACCACCACCAAGCACAGUGCCUGGCACAAAAGAGUUGCUCAAUAAAUAAAUCAGGAUGAAUGGAUAAAUACAUGGAUAGGCACUUUGAGCUACAGAUGAGUUUAAAUACUUUGUGUUUUUCUUAGUCAAACAUGUGCAAUUAAGCAUGUGAUAAAUGAUAUGAUGACCACA